UACGAAGGGGGCUAGCGUUGCUCGGAAUGACUGGGCGUAAAGGGCGCGUAGGCGGAUGGCUUUGUCGGGCGUGAAAUUCCAGGGCUUAACCUUGGGGCUGCGUUCGAGACGGGUUGUCUUGAGUGGGGAAGAGGGUCGUGGAAUUCCCAGUGUAGAGGUGAAAUUCGUAGAUAUUGGGAAGAACACCGGUGGCGAAGGCGGCAACCUGGUCCUUUACUGACGCUGAGGCGCGAAAGCGUGGGGAGCGAACAGG
rnacentral:rRNA from 1 species